UCUUAAUAGAAUUCAAAUGCCUGUUACUACUUGUGGUGGUUAGAAUAGGAAUGGCCCCCAUGGACUCACGUGUGUGAAUGCUUACCCCUCAGAGAGAGGCACUGUUAGGAGGUGUGGCCUUGUUGGAGGAAGUGUGUCACUCUGGGGGUGGGGCUUUGAGGUCUCAGACGCUCAAGCCAGGCCUACCUUUCCCUUCUGCUGCCUUUGGAUCAAGAUGCAGACCUCUCGGCUCCUUCUCCAGCACCCUGUGUGCCUGCACAGUGCCAUGCUUCCCGCCACGGUGACAAUGAACUUGAGACAUGUCUGCUCUUGGCAGUCUACUUCAGAGAAGAUGCUGGUCAUUGAAGACACUCACAUAGAGUUUGCUUUCUUUGUGGCAAAGCUGAGAGGAACAGCAAACUACUCCUUCAUCUUGUCUCCUUGGCGUUGUUUGCCUACCAAACCAGAGGCUGCUGUGGAACUGCCCUCAGGUGUCUGUGUUUUGUAAUUCUCUCCUGGGCAGGCAGGCAAGCCCAUGUUUCCAGGCACA
rnacentral:lncRNA from 1 species